AUUGUCCACCAGAGAGCAGCACUGAGCAGAUAUAACACUGCUCCUGCUCAUUCUCCAUCAGUGAGGGGUCGGUGCUGGACACUGUAGGGACGCGGGAAUGUGAAGUCAAAAACAUGACUGUGACUGAUGCAUUAUUUCCAGCAUGUGGAGUAGCAUUUCCGGACUUAAAGCAAGAAGUUGGAUGAUGGCCUAGAUUUCCGGACCUACAGCAAGACGUUGGAUGAAGGCCUAGAUUUCCGGACCUACAGCAAGAAGUUGGAUGAAGGCACAGCCCCUCGAAUCACGAACAUACACAGACACAUUGGCCCAAAUUCUAGAGGUAACCUCCUUUAGUAUGCCCAGAGGAAGGGCAAUACAGUAGCCAUGGAUUC